GAUGAACGCUGGCGGCGUGCCUAAUACAUGCAAGUCGAGCGAACAGAUGAGGAGCUUGCUCCUCUGACGUUAGCGGCGGACGGGUGAGUAACACGUGGAUAACCUACCUAUAAGACUGGGAUAACUUCGGGAAACCGGAGCUAAUACCGGAUAAUAUAUUGAACCGCAUGGUUCAAUAGUGGAAGACGGUUUUGCUGUCACUUAUAGAUGGAUCCGCGCCGCACUAGCUAGUUGGUAAGGUAACGGCUUACCAAGGCAACGAUGCGUAGCCGACCUGAGAGGGUGAUCGGCCACACUGGAACUGAGACACGGUCCAGACUCCUACGGGAGGCAGCAGUAGGGAAUCUUCCGCAAUGGGCGAAAGCCUGACGGAGCAACGCCGCGUGAGUGAUGAAGGUCUUCGGAUCGUAAAACUCUGUUAUUAGGGAAGAACAAAUGUGUAAGUAACUAUGCACGUCUUGACGGUACCUAAUCAGAAAGCCACGGCUAACUACGUG
rnacentral:rRNA from 1 species